rnacentral:lncRNA from 1 species
CUGGCUCUUCAUUUUGAAGGAUUUGAUAGCAAGGUGUCAUUCACAAAUCUGACACUUCUGCAAAGAAGCACAUCCCCCACAACUGUUAAACGAUCAAAUCAGACCAAUAAUGGAAAGCUGAAAACUAUGACUUUUCUCUUUGCCUCUGGCUACCCCUCAGAGCACUAAAUAAAUGCAAACUGCUUGUUCGAUCCCGAAUUAUGAAUAAUUUCUGAAGCAUGAUGAACCUCCAAAGAGGCAUUCAGAGUAUAUUAUGGGGUGCGGAGCGAAAUCUGUGACUUACAGUGAUCCAGGUGGUGGACUAUAUCUUCUGCUGCACAAAUUGUUGUAAGCAAGUGGUAAGUAUCAAAGACAAGAUGAAGAAUAUGGAGCAAGGUGUAUUUGACAAGAAAGAAAAAGUCCUUACUCUAGCUGUGGUUUUGGGUUUUUGUUUGUUUGUUUGUUUGUUUUGGGUUUUUGUUUGUUUGUUUGUUCGUAAGAGUAGUGCUAUGUGUGAGCACACCAGGCUGAGACUUCUCUGGGACAAACAGCUCCAACCAGCUCCCAGUUUCUCCAAGGACUGCUCCAUCCCAUUACAUAUCUCCCUGUUGUCUUUUCCAGCAAGCAAUAAUAUUACAGAUGAUUUAAGGCAGACCACAGUGUGGUGA